rnacentral:rRNA from 1 species
UACAGAGGGGGCAAGCGUUGUUCGGAAUUACUGGGCGUAAAGGGCGCGUAGGCGGCCUUCUAAGUCAUGCGUGAAAUCCCCGGGCUCAACCCGGGAACUGCGUUUGAUACUGGAAGGCUUGAAUCCGGGAGAGGGAUGUGGAAUUCCAGGUGUAGCGGUGAAAUGCGUAGAUAUCUGGAGGAACACCGGUGGCGAAGGCGGCAUCCUGGACCGGUAUUGACGCUGAGGCGCGAAAGCCAGGGGGGCAAACGGG